rnacentral:rRNA from 1 species
CAGUCGCCGCGGUAAAACGGAGGGUGCAAGCGUUAAUCGGAAUUACUGGGCGUAAAGCGCACGCAGGCGGUCUGACAAGUCAGAUGUGAAAUCCCCGGGCUUAACCUGGGAACUGCAUUUGAAACUGUCAGGCUGGAGUCUUGUAGAGGGGGGUGGAAUUCCAGGUGUAGCGGUGAAAUGCGUAGAGAUCUGGAGGAAUACCGGUGGCGAAGGCGGCCCCCUGGACAAAGACUGACGCUCAGGUGCGAAAGCGUGGGGAGCAAACAGGAUUAGAUACCCCAGUAGUCCCUGUCUCUUAUAC